UUUAGCCUUUAAAAAGAAGGAAAUCCUGGCAUUUGUGACAACAUGAAUGAACCUAGAUGUCUUUAGGCUAAGUGAAAUAAUUCAGACACAGAGGACAAAUAUUGCACGACCCCACUUUAGUGAGGAAUCCAGAAUAGUCAAAUUCGUAGAACCAGAGAGCAGACUGGUGGCUGCCAGGGGCUGAUGGCUGGGGAAAAUGGGAAGUUAUUGUCCAAAGGGUACAAAGUUUCAGUUAUGCAAGGUGAAUAAAUUCUGGAGAUCUCGUGCACAAUGAAGGGCCUGUAAUUAACAACACUGUGUUGUAUACUUAACACUUUAUUUACUAAGAGGGUAAAUCUUGUGUUAAGUGCUCUUAACACAAAAUUUUAAAAUAAACAAAUAAAUAAAAGGUCUGGGAGAUGAUGGAUAAGUUUAUAACUUUGAAUGUGGUGGUUUCACAGUGUAUACUUAUCUCCAAAUGCAUCAAGCUGUGUACGUUAAAAAUUACAGCUUUUUGUAUGUCAAUCAUACUUCAAUAAAGUGACUUAAAAAAAAAGAAUAAGGUUGCUCUGGGGUCCAGAGACCAGUUUGAAGUUCUGCUCCUCUGGCUUCUCUCACUUCAGGCUUCUCCUGCCAGCCCCUGUGGGACUGAGUCGUCUGUAGAACAUAGUUUGAAAACUUCUCUCAAGAAGAAGUUCUAAAUGAUUGGAAGAAAAAAAAGUUUGAAUUUUUCUGGAUAUGUAAUAGAGCAGAAAAAAACCCUCAAACAUUCAUCUUGCAGUUUUGGCAUCUGUUCAUAGAAAUAUUCAAUGGUGUGGAAAGAGAUUCUAUGUGAUGUAUCAACUGACAAAAAUAUCACCCAAAGUCCUUUUAGUAGAUCUUAUGACUAAAGCCUUGAGCUGUAAUGUGGCCAGUCUCGUCAGGGAGAAGAGUCUUUCUCAAGGAAAGAUGGAUGUCACAUCUCAUCAAACAAAUAAGGUGAGUUGGUGAGUUUCAGGGUAUAAGGGGUGAAGACAGGUUAUGUGGGAGUGUUAGAGAAUAUCCUAUAAGAUCUAGCUGGACGUUUUAUUAAUUUACAAUUAGCAAGGGAGCACAGGUCUGGCCUAGGCCAGUGAACUCAAUGAGUUAAGGCCAUCAGGGAAGAUUCUGGGGCUGCUAGCUUCCUUGCCAAAACUACAUGUAUUAAAUAACUAAAGUUAUGAUGAUAAUGCAAUGAUAGUAGUAUUCACCAAUUAUUGAGGACCUUCUCCGGGCUAGGCACUGUGUUGGAGAAUUAAAAUAUACUUUCACAAAAUUUCAGAACAACCCUGCAAGGAAGGUUUUAUUGUUCCCAUUUUGUGGAUGUGGACCCUGAAGUUCAAGGAGGUUGAGUGAUUUGCUCAAGGCCACAUAAUUAUUUGCAGGAGAGGCAGGAUUCAACCUCACGUGGGUCUGACCCCAAAGCCCCUGCCCUUUUCUGUAGGCUAAUCCUCCUCUCUCAGUGAGGUAUGCACAACAAACUUUAGGGAUCCUUAGACAAGUUUAUCAUCACACUUCUGCAGACUUCCGUCUUCCCUUGCUCUGACAUUAGUGACUGCC
rnacentral:lncRNA from 1 species